rnacentral:lncRNA from 1 species
UCCCACCUGCCUCCUGGUGUCAUCCAUGGUCACGUCCCACCUGCCUCCUGGUGUCACCCAUGGUCACGUCCCACCUGCGUUCCCGGCCCUGGGCUUGUCAUGGUCCAUCUGCCUCCUGGUGUCACCCAUGGCCACGUCCCACCUGCCUCCUGGUGUCAUCCAUGGCCACAUCCCACCUGCAUUCCCGGCCCUGGGCCUGUUGUGGUCCAUCUGCCUCCUGGUGUCACCCAUGGCCACGUCCCACUUCCCUCCUGGUAUCACCCAUGGCCACGUCCCACCUGCGUUCCCAGCCCUGGCCCUGCCACGGUCCCCCUGUGUCUUGGUGUCACCCAUGGCCAUGUCCCACCUGCCUCCUGGUGGCAUCCGUGGUCACAUCCCACCUGCGUCCCCAUCCCUGGGCCUGUCGUGGCCCAUCUGCCUCCUGGUGUCCUCCAUGGCCACAUCCCACCUGCCUCCUGGUGUCACCUGUGGUCACAUCCCACUUCCCUCCUGGUGUCAUCCGUGGUCACGUCCCACCUGCAUUCCUGGCCCUGGCCCUGCCAUGGUCCCCCUGCAUCCUGGUGUCACCUGUGGUCAUGUCCCACCUGUGUCCCUGGGCCUGUCGUGGCCUAUCUGCCUCCUGGUGUCACCCAUGGCCACAUCCCACCUGUGUCCUAGUGUCCUCCGUGGCCACGUCCCUGACCAUGUCUACAUCCACGUCCCUGUCCACAUCUGCGGUCGCGUCCCCGUCCCAGCCCCAYCCCUGUCCCCGUCCCCGUCCUGGCCACAUCUCCAUCCCCAGCCGCAUCCCUGUCCCAUCUGCGUCCCCGUCCCGUCCGUGUCCCGGCCACGUCCCAUCCGUGUCCUGGUGCCAUCCAUGGCCACGUCCCCGGCCGUGUCCACAUCCGUGUCCUUGUCCACGUCUGCGUCCCCGUCCCAGCCCCGUCCCUGUCCCCGUCUUGGCCGCGUCCCCGACCACAUCGACAUAGUCAUCCCGUCCAUGUCCAUGUCCAUCCUGGCCGGGGAUGUGGCCAUGUCCCCGUCCACGUCCCCAUCCUCAUUGCGUUCCUGUCCCUGUCCCCAUCCUGAUCCCUGUCCUCGUCCGUCCCCGUCGCCGCGCUGCCGCAGGACACGGGGGCGAGCGAGGCGGUGGCAGCCAUCUUCGCGCUGCUGGACGCCAACGGCGACCGCCGCAUCUCCUUCGACGAGUACUGGCA